AAGAAUUACAAGUUUUGGGCCAAAUUUUGCACAAAAAAGGGGCCCAAGUCGGCAUCCCAUCUCAUUAACCGAACCAUUUGACCCAUGACCCAUCCAACCCGCUCCAUAUCCCCACUCAAAACUCAUCCAUCAAACUAAUUCUAAUUUAACAUCCCAUAUUACUCCCUAUCAUAACAUAAAAUACAAUUUUAUCAACCCUAAACCUAAGACCAACCGCAACCCCCAUUUCUGCCGCCUCAAAACUUACUGCCCAUUGGUCCCCCCUCCUCUCUUCCCCAUCUUCCACGUAGCAAAAUACCAACGAUUUUCAUCAUUUCAAUCCGAUUCCUGCGGAUUUCUUCUUUUAAUUCUUUUGUUUAAACACAAAUCCGAGGCCCUUGGGUAAAUUUGGGAGAAAUGGGGACCGUUGGAUGAAGAUUUUAUCCAAAGUCUCCAUUUUUUUCGAUUUUUAUUGGUAAAAAGAGGAAUUUUCGGAUUUGAUCUGAAGGUCCACACGAUUUCGGAGGUUUUCUUGGAGAAAAAGCAUGAAGAAGCUUCUAGGAGCCCUAAAUAUAUAGGGGAUUUUUCGGACAAAAAGUUUUUUUUUCAAUUUUGGAGAGAUUUUGAUUCGUCCUUUUAUGGUUUUGCUUGUGUUCUUUCAUUUUAAAAAAAAAGUAAAAAAAAAAUCAGAAAAAAGGGUGGUUCAUAGAGACAGAGGUUUGGGAUUGAAAAUUGGAUUUCAAAAAUAAUUUUUAGUUCUUAAAAAAAAAAAAUAUAUAUAUAUAUAUAUACCUCUUUGCUUGUUCCAUUUCUUCAUUUAGAACUUGACUGACUGAAAACGUUGAGGCUGUUCGAGGUUUACGAGUUUGAGUUUUCCGCUGGCGAAUCUUGGUCGCCGUCCCGGUCAGCGUCCGCCAUUAUCGUGCGAUUUUGGUCGUUAUUUUCUCUUUCGGAUUUUUGAUCCAGUCUUGUAAUUGUUGGUUUGUUUCCAACCGUUAUUAAAAGAAGUUCUUGUUCGACCAAGUAUUUUUCUUAACUUUAGUAAUUGCCUUAGCUCCUACUUUUGUGAAUUGAACUUUAUUAGAGCCGUUUGAGGAUGGAUAAGAUAUGGGAGUAUAAGUUGUUUGGGUGAAUGAACGAUUCUAUUAGAAAUUUGUCUGAAACUAAGAAAGAUUAAGUGAAGCUCUUUGUCCUAUUUUCUUAAUCUCAAUUUGCGAUUUGUUUUGAAGAUCCUUCUGUCUUUGGUUGAUUUUUGAGCUUAGAAGACGUUUUCUUGGAUGAAAGGCAUAGUCAAUUGACAUUUUGAUUAGGAUAAGGGGUUUACGUCCAUGUCUCCUGAC
rnacentral:lncRNA from 1 species